GACGAACGCUGGCGGCGUGCUUAACACAUGCAAGUCGAACGGAAAGGCCCUGCUUUUGUGGGGUGCUCGAGUGGCGAACGGGUGAGUAACACGUGAGUAACCUGCCCUUGACUUUGGGAUAACUUCAGGAAACUGGGGCUAAUACCGGAUAGGAGCUCCUGCUGCAUGGUGGGGGUUGGAAAGUUUCGGCGGUUGGGGAUGGACUCGCGGCUUAUCGGCUUGUUGGUGGGGUAGUGGCUUACCAAGGCUUUGACGGGUAGCCGGCCUGAGAGGGUGACCGGCCACAUUGGGACUGAGAUACGGCCCAGACUCCUACGGGAGGCAGCAGUGGGGAAUAUUGCACAAUGGGCGGAAGCCUGAUGCAGCAACGCCGCGUGCGGGAUGACGGCCUUCGGGUUGUAAACCGCUUUCGCCUGUGACGAAGCGUGAGUGACGGUAAUGGGUAAAGAAGCACCGGCUAACUACGU
rnacentral:rRNA from 1 species